UCAGCCGCCGCGGUAAUACGGAGGGUGCAAGCGUUGUUCGGAUUUAUUGGGCGUAAAGCGCGUGUAGGCGGUCUUUUAAGUCUGAUGUGAAAGCCCCGGGCUCAACCCGGGAAGUGCAUUGGAAACUGGGAGACUUGAAUACGGGAGAGGGUAGUGGAAUUCCUAGUGUAGGAGUGAAAUCCGUAGAUAUUAGGAGGAACACCGGUGGCGAAGGCGGCUACCUGGACCGAUAUUGACGCUGAGACGCGAAAGCGUGGGGAGCAAACAGGAUUAGAUACCCUGGUAGUCCACGCCGUAAACGAUGAGUACUAGGUGUUGCGGGUAUUGACCCCUGCAGUGCCGCAGCUAACGCAUUAAGUACUCCGCCUGGGAAGUACGGUCGCAAGACUAAAACUUAAAGGAAUUGGCGGGGGAU
rnacentral:rRNA from 1 species